rnacentral:lncRNA from 1 species
UGUUUCAGAAGUAACCCGAGUAUUCUUAGCACCGCCUCUCCAGGCUGAUGUCGAGUAUUAUUACCACCGCCUCUCCAGGCCGACCUUCUUCGCGAUCUCCAUUAACCUUUUAUAUUCGAGGCACCAGAUAACAACACUCCAUGUUUUAUCCAUCAUCUCGAACAUUAAAAUUGCUUCCAUCUUCACUUUCCACAAUUCC